AAAUUUUUAUAACCGCAAGUUUGUAUAACCUCAAUAAUCUGGUUUGAGGGUCUCUACCAGGAACCAUAACCUCCUGACUACAAAAAAGCAAUCUUAUUUU
rnacentral:ncRNA from 2 species